rnacentral:tmRNA from 1 species
GGGGCCGAUCUGGAUUCGACCGGGCGUGACUGGGCUGUCGUGGCGUGUCGCGGCGCACGUGAACCGCGUUAUCAAGCGUGCACACUUAUAACUGCCAAUACGCAGUAUGCUCUUGCAGCCUAAAUAGGUUGCCGGUCUGUAUCGGAAUGUCUGCGGCCGAUACGGGCUGAAAAUCAGCGGACUGGCUCUGAUGUUUGACCGCGUGACAUCGGGGUGAGAAAACUCGCGGCUGGGUGACUCAGCAGGCUGUCGAUGGCCGUCUGACGAACCGAGAACCAAACCAUCGACUACACACGUAGAGGCGGCAGAGCGGCCGUUCGGGACGGGGGUUCGAUUCCCCCCGGCUCCAUUU